GAGACAUCCGUGGGAGCACUGACAGCUUUCACACCAAACACUAACCAGGAGUCAGCUCUGGGUAGAGCUGCCCACGAAGGAAGAGUGCCUAAGUCAGCCGUGCUCAUCUUGACCCUCACGGCAGGGGAGACGGAAGCCUGAAGCCCCCCCUCCCUGUAGAUUCACUUCCCACCAGGGAACUUACCAAUAUUUCCUCCAACUUCAUAAACAAGGAAGGUGACCGGCUUCGUGUUACUGUAAGACAGAGAAAAACGUCCACUGGACUCUGCUACACAAGGCAAGGCCACCCCAGGUCUGGAAGGAGCAUCCUCAGGGAUUUGUGGUCCUAGUAGGAAGGGCCUGAGGACUCUUCUGAGAGAACAGGAGCCAAUGAAAGAGACCAGCCUCCAGAAGCAGAGAGGGGAAGGGAGAGGCAGGGAGGUAGUCAGUCCUUGGGAAAGAUCAGCCCCAGGUGCUCUGCCACAGGGCAUCAGAAGUGGGCUUCAGGGGGUUCGGUCAGGGUGACAAGUGGAGCGAGCACCCUGCUGUGAGCACCGGCUUCUGCAUCAAGGAGGAAUGUGUAUGACUCUGUGUGGGUUAUAACAAUACAAGUGUAUAAUUAUCCGAUGAUGAUUAUAGGUAUCCUGGAUUUGGAUCCAGGAUCUACCCCUGACUAGCUUUGUGUCUUUGGACAUGCCUUUGGCCUUUGAUUUCUCAUUAGUAUCAGAAGGAAUUGGGUCAGACACUUGGUAAGGGCUGAUACUCUGGGGGUCUUUGUGCCAACCCCAGGAAGGAAGCUCCCAAGGACUCCGGCUGCUACUCCUUGUGCCUGGGAAUGACAGCUACGUAUCAGCCCCCUGAUGCAUUUGGCCACACCGUUUCUUGCUUCCUUAGGACCUCUGCACAUGCAGGGUUCUGUGCCCGGAAGCCUUGUUUGCUCCUCAGGUUACAGUAGGCACCUCAGUGCAAUUCAUGUUAUAUAAGACAAUAUAGUGUUUAACUUGACUCAGCUACUUAAUUUAUGUCUGUCUCUUUUCUCAUGGCAUGAGCCUGUAAAGGCCAGAACCUUUGUUGUUGUUGUUGUUGUUUUUGAGACAGGGUUUCUCUGUAUAGCCCUGGCUGUCCUACAGCUCACUUUGUAGACCAGGCUGGCCUUGAACUCAGAAAUCCGCCUGCCUUUGCCUCCCAAGUGCUGGGAUUAAAGGCAUGCACCACCAACCCCCAGCUGGUUUUUUUUUUAAAUAUUUAUUUCUAUUCUUUUGUUUGUCUGUUUGUUUGUUUCUUCCUUCUUGUCUGUCUUCCUUUUGUUUCUUUCCUUUUUUUUCAUUUUUCUUCUCUUCUCUUUUCUUUUUCCUUUCUUUCUUUUCUUCCUUCCUUUUUUUCUUCCUUCCUUCCUUCCUUCCUUUCUUUCUUUCUUUCUUUCUUUCUUUCUUUCUUUCUUUCUUUCUUUCUUUCUUUCCUUCUUUCUUCCCUUCUUUCUUUCUUAUUUUUUUUGACACAGAGUUUCUCUAUUUAACAGCCCUGGCUGUCCAGGAACUUGCUUUUUAGACCAGGCUGGCCUGAAACUCAGAAAUCUGCCUGCCUCUGCCUUCCCAAGUGCUGGGAAGGCGUGCGCCACCACAGCUGGCUAUUUAUGUUUAGUUACGAGUUGGGGGUGGUGUACAUGCACAUGUGUGUGGGUGUCUGUGGAGGCCAGAUUGCUGUGUACCCUGGAGCUGGAGUCACAGGUGGUCAUGGGCUGCCUGACUAGGGCAGCUGGGAACCGAACUCCAAUCCUCUGCAACAGUGGUCAGUGCUCUUAACCACUGGGCUGUCUCUCCAGCCCCUCUGUUAAGGCCUUUCAUUGCCAUUUUAGCAUUCCAUGCACCGUCUGAUCUACAGUAGCUAUUUAUUAAUAUAUAUUAAAAUCAGUAAUGAAUGGU
rnacentral:lncRNA from 1 species